GACGAACGCUGGCGGCGUGCCUAAUACAUGCAAGUCGAGCGAGCGGAACUAACAGAUUUACUUCGGUAAUGACGCUAGGAAAGCGAGCGGCGGAUGGGUGAGUAACACGUGGGGAACCUGCCCCAUAGUCUGGGAUACCACUUGGAAACAGGUGCUAAUACCGGAUAAGAAAGCAGAUCGCAUGGUCAGCUUUUAAAAGGCGGCGUAAGCUGUCGCUAUGGGAUGGCCCCGCGGUGCAUUAGCUAGUUGGUAAGGUAAAGGCUUACCAAGGCGAUGAUGCAUAGCCGAGUUGAGAGACGGAUCGGCCACAUUGGGACUGAGACACGGCCCAAACUCCUACGGGAGGCAGCAGUAGGGAAUCUUCCACAAUGGACGCAAGUCUGAUGGAGCAACGCCGCGUGAGUGAAGAAGGUUUUCGGAUCGUAAAGCUCUGUUGUUGGUGAAGAAGGAUAGAGGUAGUAACUGGCCUUUAUUUGACGGUAAUCAACCAGAAAGUCACGGCUAACUACGUG
rnacentral:rRNA from 1 species